rnacentral:rRNA from 1 species
AGUGAACGCUGGCGGUAGGCCUAACACAUGCAAGUCGAACGGCAGCACAGGAGAGCUUGCUCUCUGGGUGGCGAGUGGCGGACGGGUGAGGAAUACAUCGGAAUCUACUCUGUCGUGGGGGAUAACGUAGGGAAACUUACGCUAAUACCGCAUACGACAUACGGGUGAAAGCAGGGGACCUUCGGGCCUUGCGCGAUUGAAUGAGCCGAUGUCGGAUUAGGCAGUUGGCGGGGUAAAGGCCCACCAAGGCGACGAUCCGUAGCUGGUAUGAGAGGAUGAUCAGCCACACUGGAACUGAGACACGGUCCAGACUCCUACGGGAGGCAGCAGUGGGGAAUAUUGGACAAUGGGCGCAAGCCUGAUCCAGCCAUACCGCGUGGGUGAAGAAGGCCUUCGGGUUGUAAAGCCCUUUUGUUGGGAAAGAAAUCCAGCUGGCUAAUACCCGGUUGGGAUGACGGUACCCAGAGAAUAAGCACCGGCUAACUUCGUGCCAGCCGCCGCAGUAA